rnacentral:tRNA from 1 species
GGGCGAGUGGCGAAAUUGGUAGACGCACACGCUUCAGGGGCGUGCGAGAGUAAUCUCAUGGGAGUUCGACUCUCCCCUCGCCCA